GUCGCGGUGCCAGAGUGGUUAAUGGGUUAGACUUGAAUUCUUCAUUCAGUCAUCUAAUGGCUUCGGCCUCGCAAGGUACAUAUACCCAAACCACACAUCAGAGCGCCAUCUAACAGAGAACGAAAAGUUCGAAUCUUGUCCGCGACG